rnacentral:rRNA from 1 species
AGAGUUUGAUCAUGGCUCAGGAUGAACGCUGGCGGCGUGCCUAACACAUGCAAGUCGAGCGUGAUUGUUAUGAGUGGCGACUUCGGUCAAAGCGAGUAACAUGAAAGCGGCGGACGGGUGAGUAACGCGUGGGCAACCUGCCCCAUACACGAGGAUAGCCACUGGAAACGGUGAUUAAUACUCGAUAAGACCACACUACCACAUGGUAGAGCGGCCAAAGAUUUAUCGGUAUGGGAUGGGCCCGCGUCUGAUUAGCUAGUUGGUGAGGUAACGGCUCACCAAGGCGACGAUCAGUAACCGACCUGAGAGGGCGGACGGUCACACUGGAACUGAGACACGGUCCAGACUCCUACGGGAGGCAGCAGUGGGGAAUAUUGCACAAUGGGCGCAAGCCUGAUGCAGCAACGCCGCGUGAGUGAAGAAGGCCUUCGGGUCGUAAAGCUCUGUCCUGUGGGACGAAAAA